GCCAGCAGCUAUAUCAGCCUGCAACUCAAAGCUAGCAACCAACUAAAGCUCAGCAGGUGUGAGGCUGGUCAGUUCCUGGAUGGGAGACCUCCUGGGAAAACUAAGGUUACUGCUGGAA
rnacentral:rRNA from 1 species